rnacentral:rRNA from 1 species
UACAGAGGGGGCAAGCGUUGUUCGGAAUUACUGGGCGUAAAGGGCUCGUAGGUGGCCAACUAAGUCAGACGUGAAAUCCCUCGGCUUAACCGGGGAACUGCGUCUGAUACUGGAGUGGACUUCGGAGUUGGGAGAGGACGGCAGACUUCGAGUGUAGCGGUGAAAUGCGUAGAUAUCAGGAGGAACACCGGUGGCGAAGGCGGUUCUCUGGGCAUGUCCUGACGCUGAGGAGCGAAAGUGUGGGGAGCGAACAGG